AACGAACGCUGGCGGCGUGGAUAAGACAUGCAAGUCGAACGGGACAUUGCUUGUAGCAAUACAAGUAAUGCCCAGUGGCGCAAGGGUGUGUAACACGUGGGCAAUCUACCGAAAAGUGGGGAAUAGCUCGCCGAAAGGCGAAUUAAUACCGCAUGUGGCCAAGGAAGACCUCUUCUGGCAGCCAAAGCUGGGGCAACCUAGCGCUUUUUGUAUGAGCCCGCCGGCC
rnacentral:rRNA from 1 species